GCCUUCGUGGUGUAGUGCUCAGCACGCUUGGCGCAUAUGCGAGAGAUCCGUGGUUCGAUUCUCGGUGGAGGCU
rnacentral:tRNA from 1 species